rnacentral:sRNA from 1 species
GCCAGGUGUGGUAGUGAAUACCUGUAAUCCCAGCAACUUGGGAGGCUGAAGCAGGAGGAUCCCAAGUUUAAAUCCAGCCUCAG